UAUAUGGUCAAGUGAAGAAGCGCAUACGGUGGAUGCCUUGGCAGUCAGAGGCGAUGAAAGACGUGGUAGCCUGCGAAAAGCUUUGGGGAGUCGGCAAACAGACUGUGAUCCAGAGAUCUCUGAAUGGGGGAACCCAGCCAGCACAAGCUGGUUAUCUUGUACUGAAUACAUAGGUGCAAGAGGCGAACCAGGGGAACUGAAACAUCUAAGUACCCUGAGGAAAAGAAAUCAACCGAGAUUCCCUUAGUAGUGGCGAGCGAACGGGGACCAGCCCUUAAGUUGAUUUGAGAUUAGUGGAACGCUCUGGAAAGUGCGGCCAUAGUGGGUGA
rnacentral:rRNA from 1 species